CCUACGGGAGGCAGCAGUGGGGAAUAUUGGGCAAUGGGCGCAAGCCUGACCCAGCAACGCCGCGUGAAGGAAGAAGGCUUUCGGGUUGUAAACUUCUAUCGUCAGGGAAGAGUAGAAGACGGUACCUGACGAAUAAGCCACGGCUAACUACGUGCACGCAGCCGCGGUUAUGCGUAGGUGGCAAGCGGUGUCCGGAUUUACUGGGUGUAAAGGGCGUGUAGCCGGGUCGACAAGUCAGAUGUGAAAUCCUGCGGCUUAACCGCAGAACUGCAUUUGAAACUGUUGAUCUUGAGAACUGGGGAGGCAGACGGAAUUCCUAGGGUAGCGGUGAAAUGCG
rnacentral:rRNA from 1 species